rnacentral:rRNA from 1 species
AUUGAACGCUGGCGGCAGGCCUAACACAUGCAAGUCGAGCGGAGCGGCGGACGGGUGAGUAAUGCCUAUGAAUCUGCCUGGCAGUGGGGGAUAACGUCCGGAAACGGACGCUAAUACCGCAUACUAUCAGAUGAGCCUGGGUCGGAUUGGCUAGUUGGUGGGGUAAAGGCCUACCAAGGCGACGAUCCGUAACUGGUCUGAGAGGAUGAUCAGUCACACUGGAACUGAGACACGGUCCAGACUCCUACGGGAGGCAGCAGUGGGGAAUAUUGGACAAUGGGCGAAAGCCUGAUGCAGCCAUGCCGCGUGUGUGAAGAAGGUCUUCGGAUUGUAAAGCACUUUAAGUUGGGAGGCGUUACCCGCAGAAGAAGCACCGGCUAACUCCGUGCCAGCAGCCGCGGUAAUAC